rnacentral:tRNA from 1 species
GGCUUGGUAGCUUAGCUGGUAAAGCACUCGUCUAGUAUACAAGAGUCGUGGGUUCGAAUCCCACAUGAGCAC